rnacentral:tRNA from 1 species
UCCAGGGUAGCCUAGUGGACAUGGCAUCUGCCCGGUAAGCGGAAUAUUGUGGGUUCGAUUCCCAUCCCCCUGGAC